GAUGAACGCUGGCGGCGUGCCUAAUACAUGCAAGUCGAGCGAACAGACGAGGAGCUUGCUCCUCUGACGUUAGCGGCGGACGGGUGAGUAACACGUGGAUAACCUACCUAUAAGACUGGGAUAACUUCGGGAAACCGGAGCUAAUACCGGAUAAUAUAUUGAACCGCAUGGUUCAAUGGUGAAAGACGGUUUUGCUGUCACUUAUAGAUGGAUCCGCGCCGCAUUAGCUAGUUGGUAAGGUAACGGCUUACCAAGGCAACGAUGCGUAGCCGACCUGAGAGGGUGAUCGGCCACACUGGAACUGAGACACGGUCCAGACUCCUACGGGAGGCAGCAGUAGGGAACCUUCCGCAAUGGGCGAAAGCCUGACGGAGCAACGCCGCGUGAGUGAUGAAGGUCUUCGGAUCGUAAAACUCUGUUAUUAGGGAAGAACAAAUGUGUAAGUAACUAUGCACGUCUUGACGGUACCUAAUCAGAAAGCCACGGCUAACUACGUG
rnacentral:rRNA from 1 species